GACGAACGCUGGCGGCGCGCUUAACACAUGCAAGUCGAGCGAAGCAGCUGACGGGGGAGUAACACGUGAGUAAACUACCUUAGACAUUGGGAUAGCCUCGGGAAACCGGGAUUAAUAACAACUGGUCUAAGAUGGAAUCGCGUCCCAUUAGCGAGUUGGUGAGGUAAGGGCCCACCAAGGCGAAGACGGGUAGCCGGCAGGAGAGGGAGAACGGAGACAGUGAAACUGAGAAACAGUGGAAACUCUGCGGGAGGCAGGAGUGGGGAAUAUUGCACAAUGGCGGGAGCUCUGAUGCAGUGACGCCGGGAGAACGAAGAAGGCUUUCGAGUAGUAAAGUUCUUUUAUAUGGUAAGCGGUACCAGAAGAAAAAGCCCCGGCUAACUCCGUGCCAGCCGCCGCGGUAAUAC
rnacentral:rRNA from 1 species